UACGGAGGGUGCGAGCGUUGUCCGGAAUCACUGGGCGUAAAGGGCGCGUAGGUGGCCCGUGGAAGUCUGCGGUGAAAGCCCGGCGCUCAACGCCGGGUCGGCCGUGGAUACUCUCGGGCUUGAGCUUACUAGAGGCAGAUGGAAUUCCGGGUGUAGCGGUGGAAUGCGUAGAGAUCCGGAAGAACACCGGUGCGAAGGCGGCCUGCUGGGCAGUUGCUGACACUGAGGCGCGACACGUGGGGAGCAAACAGG
rnacentral:rRNA from 1 species